rnacentral:rRNA from 1 species
GUCUAUAGCCAAAUCACCCUGAACACACCCAAUUGCAUCUGAUCUUGGAAGCUAAGUAGGGUAGAGCCUGGUUAGUACUUGGAUGGGAGACAACUCACCAAGAGACAACUAGAUUUUGUGUUUU